CGUAGGUGGCAGCGUUAUCCGGAUUAUUGGCGUAAGCGCGCGUAGGCGGUUCUUAAGUCUGAUGUGAAGCCCACGGCUCAACCGUGGAGGGUCAUUGGAACUGGGAACUUGAGUGCAGAAGAGGAAGUGGAAUUCCAUGUGUAGCGGUGAAAUGCGCAGAGAUAUGGAGGAACACCAGUGGCGAAGGCGACUUUCUGGUCUGUAACUGACGCUGAUGUGCGAAAGCGUGGGAUCAAACAGGAUU
rnacentral:rRNA from 1 species